AUUAUCAACAUCCAAUGUCACCUACACGCUUUCAUGCACAUGGCAAAAGGUUCUAAAUUGGCAAUCACUGAGUUGAGUUGCCAUUCGCACUGCUCUAUUCUUUACCAGUGGAAAAGCUUUCAACGAUGGAUCCAAUUCCACGCUAAAACAAACUAAAUUACACGUUGUUGUGUGCCCAUGGCUGCCUUUCGGGCUUAUAUUGCCAUUCUUCGAGUUCUCCAAAUUCAUAGCUCAAAACGGUCACAGAUCUCGUUUGUUUCCACUCCAAGAAAUAUAGAUCGCUUUCCAAAAAUUCCUCUCCUUGUAGUUUCUUCCAUAACCGUAGUUAAGAUUCUAUUGCCUAAAGUUGAACAACUCCCUGAAGCUGCUGAGGCAACAAUGGAUAUUAGAAAUGAAGAUAUGGCCUACCUGUCACCUGAAGAAAGCAUUUGAUGGGAUGGAAACUGAGUUGACUUGUUUCUUGUAAAACUCGCUUCGAGACUGGAAUCUGGAUGAUCUACGGUUUCGCUCCACACUGGUUGUCUCCAAUUGCAGCAAGGUUUGGAAUUUCUCGUGCUUUUUUCUUGGGCUUCAAUGCAUGGUUUUGAGCUUUCCAUGGAUCAUCGGAGUCCAUGAUUAAGCCCCCGUUUAGCCCCCAUUUUGUGGUAAUGAGAAUGUGUGGAAUAGUAUUUUUUUGAAAACUGAGAGGUUGAAAAAGAAAAAAAAAAAUUCGAUUUACGUAUAAUAUUAUUUUAUAGAAGAUUGAGUGAUUGAAAAUAAGAAAGAGAAAAAUAAAAUGUAAUGGAAUGAAAAUUAAUGGGAUCAAACGGGGGGCUAAAGCUUAGAUGAAAGGACAAAGGCAGCUCACGAAGUGGCAUAUCGAAGGUACGAAGAAGACUGGAUUAUCAAGUCAACUCAGAAGAAUGAUUCAGGAUUUUCAGACUUUUUCGUGACAGUGAGGUUAUUGAUAGAUCUCAGGUAAUAUUUAUAAGACACUUCAAUGAGUUUGAUGUAGAAUAAUUUAUUGUUUUAAAUUAUCGGAUCUUUAAUGUUAAAUCAUCAAGAAAUUGAAGAACUAUAGAGGAAGCAUACCUAAAUCAUACAUGGC
rnacentral:lncRNA from 1 species